CGUAGGGUGCAGGCGUUAAUCGGAAUUACUGGGCGUAAAGCGUGCGCAGGCGGUUUGCUAAGACAGGUGUGAAAUCCCCGGGCUUAACCUGGGAACUGCGCUUGUAACUGGCAAGCUUGAGUGCGGCAGAGGGGGGUGGAAUUCCACGUGUAGCAGUGAAAUGCGUAGAGAUGUGGAGGAACACCGAUGGCGAAGGCAGCCCCCUGGGUCGACACUGACGCUCAUGCACGAAAGCGUGGGGAGCAAACAGGAUUAGAUACCCUGGUAGUCCACGCCCUAAACUAUGUCAACUGGUUGUCGGGGAAGCAAUUCCUUGGUAACGAAGCUAACGCGUGAAGUUGACCGCCUGGGGAGUACGGCCGCAAGGUU
rnacentral:rRNA from 1 species